ensembl:snRNA U6 U6 spliceosomal RNA
GUGCUCACUAUGGCAGCACAUAUACUAAAAUUGGAACAAUGCAGAGAAGACCAGCAAGACCCUGUGCAAGGAUGACAUGCAAAUUCAUGAAGCAUUCCAUAUUUUU